rnacentral:rRNA from 1 species
GUGGGGAAUAUUGGACAAUGGGGGGAACCCUGAUCCAGCCAUGCCGCGUGUGUGAAGAAGGCCUUUUGGUUGUAAAGCACUUUAAGCGAGGAGGAGGCUACCGAGAUUAAUACUCUUGGAUAGUGGACGUUACUCGCAGAAUAAGCACCGGCUAACUCUGUGCCAGCAGCCGCGGUAAUACAGAGGGUGCAAGCGUUAAUCGGAUUUACUGGGCGUAAAGCGCGCGUAGGUGGCCAAUUAAGUCAAAUGUGAAAUCCCCGAGCUUAACUUGGGAAGUGCAUUCGAUACUGGUUGGCUAGAGUAUGGGAGAGGAUGGUAGAAUUCCAGGUGUAGCGGUGAAAUGCGUAGAGAUCUGGAGGAAUACCGAUGGCGAAGGCAGCCAUCUGGCCUAAUACUGACACUGAGGUGCGAAAGCAUGGGGAGCAAACAGGAUUAGAAACCCGAGUAGUCC